rnacentral:hammerhead_ribozyme from 1 species
AUCCAGCUGACAAGUCACAACUAGGACGAAACGCGAGUCAAACUGGAU